UAUUUGGAUUUUCUCUUUAUAAGCUCCAUGUGCUUAUUCUGCUGUUUUAUGAAUGUUCCAAAGGAUUACCAGUUUUUUCAAUGGCGUCUGGAGUAUUUAGUCUGUUGCACUGGGAUUCUGCAGUGAUUAGGAACUUUAGUUUGUUAGUUCAGCACACUCUGUAAUGCUGGAGAUGUAAGCAUGUGUACUUUAAAAUUUUUUCUAUUUUCUUACAUUGAUUUUAGGGGAAGUGAUUCAAAUUUCUAGCAUUAUUUUGAAAUUUACAGAUAUUUCACUAAGUGGAGUUAUAUUAACUAAUUUAUUCUUCAAGCUUCAGGAACUUUAAUUGAUACUUGAGUUGUGCAUACUUACAAGUAAGUAAUCGCGAGUGUAGUUGUAUUUUACCAAUGGAUUAAAAUACCUUUUUAGAAUUGUUACGCAUUUACAGAUAGUUUUGAAUAGUCACUGACUUGUACACAAGAGGAGAGGAAUGUUUGUGUAAUUAAAGUUGAAGGAUCUAGCAAGUAUCUGAGUCCUUUCAAAAGGGGACAGCCUGGUUGUAUUUACUGUUCAAGAUUUGAUGUAAGUAAAGGAUUUGCUUUAAAACAAAAAAGCAAACAAAAACAGAUCAAAUAAUUCUUUUAAAAUGUGUUUUUAUUUGCAGAAGCCACAGAAGCCAAACUUGACAUCGUUAAUGAAUGUUCCCCAAAAGUUCAGAAAUAAUGGUGGGUGGUGAUAGUUCUAGAAUUGAAAUUCCUAAGUCACAGAAGAAAAGCCUCAAACAAAAAAAACCAACAGGUGCAAAUCUGAGCAGAGGAGAAUGUGGAGAGUUGUUGAAACAAGAUGUCUCAGAUUCAGGCAACCUUGAGGAAGAUGAAUUGGUGGAAGAGGAAGAAGGGCAGUGCAAAGAGGUACAUAAUAAAUUCCAUGAAACACUAAAACAAGAAAGUGAAAACCUGGGCCUAAAUAGAUAUGAGGAAAAUCUAUGGGCAGCAUUUCCCUCAAGCACAAAAGUAAGUGUACAGGGAUGAUUCAAUUGGUGAAUCUGAGACAUCUUGUUUCAACAACUCUCCACAUUCUCCUCUGCUCAGAUUUGCACCUGUUGGUUUUUUUUGUUUGAGGCUUUUCUUCUGUGACUUAGGAAUUUCAAUUCUAGAACUAUCACCACCACCUUAAAGCAUGAGAAAGGGAAAGAGGAAUAUGAAUCAAAUGGGUUAUAUAAAUAGCAGCAGGCAUUUUACCCAUUAAAAACACAGGAAAGUAGUCAUCUGGGACUGUAUGGAAAAGAAGCCAGGUAAGGGCAGGAUGGGAGAAGGACACAUCAGACACAAAGGCUUAGGAGGGGACUCAGUAUGGUCAUUUCCAUUAUCUUACUUAUUUUAUUCUGACAUGACCAUCUGUUCUGUUCUUAUAACACUACUUUCCUCAAUUACUACAGCCAAGUGAAAACAACAACAACAAAAAACGAAAUGAAAUUAUUUAGUAAGUUUACAUUUGUAUGUCAUUGUAUUAUGAAGUACUUUCCAAAUAACUUACCAAUAUUCCUGAACUUUUGGGGAACAUUCAUUAACAUUGUCAAGUUUGGCUUCUGUGGCUUCUGCAAAUAAAAAUACAUUUUAAAAGAAUUAUUUGAUCUGU
ensembl:lncRNA